UGGGGAAUAUUAGGCAAUGGGGGAAACCCUGACCUAGCCAUGCCGCGUGCGUGAAGAAGGUCUUAGGAUUGUAAAGCGCUUUCAGCGGGGGAAGAUGAUGACGGUACCCGCAGAAGAAGCCCCGGCUAACUCCGUGCCAGCAGCCGCGGUAAUACGGAGGGGGCUAGCGUUGUUCGGAAUUACUGGGCGUAAAGCGCACGUAGGCGGACCAGAAAGUUGGGGGUGAAAUCCCGGGGGCUCAACCCCGGAACUGCCUCCAAAACUAUUGGUCUAGAGUUCGAGAGAGGUGAGUGGAAUUCCAAGUGUAGAGGUGAAAUUCGUAGAUAUUUGGAGGAACACCAGUGGCGAAGGCGGCUCACUGGCUCGAUACUGACGCUGAGGUGCGAAAGUGUGGGGAGCAAACAGGAUUAGAUACCCUGGUAGUCCACACCGUAAAACGAUGAAUGCCAGUCGUCGGGUAGCAUGCUAUUCGGUGACACACCUAACGGAUUAAGCAUUCCGCCUGGGGAGUACGGUCGCAAGAUUAAAA
rnacentral:rRNA from 1 species